AUUGAACGCUAACGGCGUGCCUAACACAUGCAAGUCGAGCGGCAGCAUGACUGUAGCAAUACAGUUGAUGGCGAGCGGCGGACGGGUGAGUAAUGCAUAGGAAUCUGCCCUGUAGUGGGGGAUAACCCGGGGAAACUCGGGCUAAUACCGCAUAAUCUCUACGGAGCAAAGUGGGGGACCUUCGGGCCCUACGCUAAAAGAUGAGCCUAUGUUGGAUUAGCUAGUUGGUAGGGUAAAAGCCUACCAAGGCAACGAUCCAUAGCUGGUCUGAGAGGAUGAUCAGCCACACUGGGACUGAGACACGGCCCAGACUCCUACGGGAGGCAGCAGUGGGGAAUAUUGGACAAUGGGCGAAAGCCUGAUCCAGCAACGCCGUGUGUGUGAAGAAGGCCUUCGGGUUGUAAAGCACUUUUAGUGGGAAAGAAAAGUUUAUGGCUAAUAUCCAUGAAUGCUGACGUUACCCACAGAAAAAGCACUGGCUAACUCUGUGCCAGCAGCCGCGGUAA
rnacentral:rRNA from 1 species